rnacentral:rRNA from 1 species
AACGAACGCUGGCGGCAUGCCUAACACAUGCAAGUCGAACGAGACCUUCGGGUCUAGUGGCGCACGGGUGCGUAACGCGUGGGAACCUGCCCUUAGGUUCGGAAUAACUCCCCGAAAGGGGUGCUAAUACCGGAUAAUGUCUUCGGACCAAAGAUUUAUUGCCUUUGGAUGGGCCCGCGUUGGAUUAGCUAGUUGGUAGGGUAAAAGCCUACCAAGGCGACGAUCCAUAGCUGGUCUGAGAGGAUGAUCAGCCACACUGGGACUGAGACACGGCCCAGACUCCUACGGGAGGCAGCAGUGGGGAAUAUUGGACAGUGGGCGAAAGCCUGAUCCAGCAAUGCCGCGUGAGUGAUGAAGGCCUUAGGGUUGUAAAGCUCUUUUAACCGGGAUGAUAAUGACAGUACCGGGAGAAUAAGCUCCGGCUAACUCCGUG